AGGGUUUGAUUAUGGCUCAGGAUGAACGCUGGCGGCGUGCCUAACACAUGCAAGUCGAACGAAGCAUCAUAAAGGAAGUUUACGGAUGGAAUUUAAGAUGACUGAGUGGCGGACGGGUGAGUAACGCGUGGAUAACCUGCCUCAUACAGGGGGAUAACAGCUAGAAAUGGCUGCUAAUACCGCAUAAGCGCACAGUGCCGCAUGGCAGAGUGUGAAAAACUCCGGUGGUAUGAGAUGGAUCCGCGUCUGAUUAGCCAGUUGGUGGGGUAACGGCCCACCAAAGCGACGAUCAGUAGCCGGCCUGAGAGGGCGACCGGCCACAUUGGGACUGAGACACGGCCCAA
rnacentral:rRNA from 1 species